CUGGAAGCCAUCCAUGCGGCACUUUCCUUCCAGGGCCCUGAUGUGUGACAGUUUCCUGCGUGAGACUUCCCUUCUUACUUGGCACUUGGAUUUUAAAAUGACUCAGUGAUUAAUGCUUCAGAGCUGCACGUGAUAAUUGUCUUGGCAGAAGGCGAUGUCUUUGUUCUUAGUCACACACCUUUUGUGUGGUGUUUCCCACUCUGGCUCCCUUAUUUAUGACCUGUUGGCAUGCAUCUAUAUUUAGCAAGUAAAUUGCUGAUAUCUAACGAGUCAUCAAAGCAGUCAUCUUGGACUCUGAAACCAAAGCCAUAUAAAGUCAGGUCCGUAGCCACUGAUGUCUUCUCGUCAGAGGCUGCUGAGAAUAAGAAAAUGUUCGAAGACAUCUCCCACAGAGCUCUCUGGUCUAGUUCCUGUAUCAUUCCCAUUCAUCCUUAAAAGCAGAAAGUAUUUACUCGAUGUUUGGCCUGGGCUUUCAGCCGUGGGAAAAAAAUUCACCUUUGAGUGCCCAUAUUAAAAGCCAAAACCAAGUAGACAUGGGUGAGAAUUCUCAAGCAGACUCCUAAGAUCUUUCAAAACUCCUCAGAGGAUUAAAAACCGAGCCCUAGAAACAGGUAAGAGAGGGAUGGAAUCUGAAGUGCUCUAUUCUAGUCUUUGUGUGUAUGGGGAUAUGGGGGCAUCAAGAUAGGGUUUCUCUGUGUAGCUAUGGCGGUUCUGGAACUCACUCUGAAGACCAGGCUGGCCUUGAACUCAGAGGUCCUCCUGCAUCUGCCUCCACAGUGCUAGGAUUAAAGGCCUGCAAUGCCGCCACCACCACCACCACCGUCACCACCAUUACCCAAUGGCCUGUUCCACUCUUCAACAUUCCCACUCCCACCAGUGCUCAAACACUCUUGUGGCCGAAUCAGGGAAUGGAUGUUUCACGUGAUAGAUCACAGAGAUUCACAGAGAUCUCUGGACCUGAAUCCAGCCUUGUACUUAAGAAGUUGUGAAGGAAGACACCACCACAAUUGCACUAUUUCAGGAUCACAUCAUCUCCCUAUACAUUGCCACCACAUCCGUCAUCUGCCUCCUUCUCAUCGUAUCCCCCUUUGUUUCAUUCUCAAUGGUGCAAUGUAAAAGAGCUAGCAAAUAUAAAUCUGAGCUUCCUAUUUAAAAGCAUCCCAUGAUAAAAUAUCAAAGCUCUUUGGUAUGAAAGUUAGUGCCCUUGGUGGGCUGGUUCCUAUUCACCCUUCUGCUUU
rnacentral:lncRNA from 1 species